GACCCAUUCCCUGCCCCCACCACCCGCCCCCAGAUUCAGGGCACUUCCUCUAAGUAAACACAAAUAUUUCUAUAGUGAACUGUAUGCAUAUUCCCACUGAGUAAAGGUUAUAAGAAGCCUCAGGUCAGGUCUUACCACCAAACUUGAAAACACUUGGAAUGUAGCUGGGCAGGGCCUUGAGCAGGUUUUGUCUUGAUAAGCAGGUAAGAAUGGCAGAACACUGGCUUAUUGUCAGCCAAUGUUUAUUUAUAUACCUGAAGCAGCCGGGCGUGGUG